AACAAUUUCAAUCCUUUCUACUGAAAACAAGUCGACCAAAGGACAACAGCACCUUCACACCUGAGCUUUCUCCACCAACUCUACGGUAUCCCUCCUGCUGCUGACUCUAGAACUCAUCUCUCUCCUGUCAUUUAGAUCAACAUGAAGAUCUC